UUGCUCGCUUUGGCAGCACAUAUACUAAAAUUGGAACGAUACAGAGAAGAUUAGCAUGGCCUCUGUGCAAGGAUGACAUGCAAAUUUGUGAAGCGUUCCAUAUUUUU
ensembl:snRNA Gm26166 predicted gene, 26166